AAUGAUGUUGUACAUCAUGCAGAUAGCUCAGAAAAAGAAGCAGGAAUGUUUGACUGGAAAUAUAAACGAUGUUGUACAUAAUGCAGAUAGCUUAGGCAAAAAAGAGAUUGGUGAAAUAGAGAAUGAGACUAACUAGGGUGAAAAAAAAUGAAUAUUAAUAUGUGAAUAGCACUUUGUUUAACAUCUACCUGUUUCUACAGAUACAGUACAGACGCAUUUAUAAAUGGGCUUGAUGUUUUUUUGAAUUAAAUAUGUUGUAUUGA